ensembl:lncRNA
GAUGGAGGAGCUCUGGUGGAGAACAGGAAGGCAGGUCCUGGGUGCACUGCCUUCGGAUCAGUACUGAUGGCAGCAACUGUCCUCUUCUGGGACUUGCACAUCUGCAUCUUGCUUCUUGGCUGCAGCCUGGGGCUCCUGGUGUUCUCCUCCUGGGUUAGGCUAACUGCUGCACAGAGCAACGGGGAGGUGAGAGUAGGAGGCUGAUAAAGUGGCAGUGUCACCCAGUGGGUCCUAAGCUGGAUGGAAAUAGCUGCGUGACGAGACACCUCGCUACUAAAGUUGGAAAUGUAUUCCCAGUGGCAAUCAUUAUUCAAUGGGAGCUCAUUUCCCUACGCCUGCCUUGCUUUUUCACAAAGAAUGGUCCUUGUAGUCUCAUCUUAAUCUUCUGUACUAAUUAAAGUUUUGGAAGCCGGAAGAUAAGGGCUGAAAUCUCUCUGAAGCUACCGGCACCUGAGAUUUUUCCUUGGAGCUUCUUUUGCCUUUGUUGGAAAACUUCCAGCUGGUAAAAACAAACUUCCUUUUGCUGCUGUGGAAGCCCAGAUCUUAAAUGAGAAGGGUUCCUCUGGACCAUGGCAAUACCACUGAGUGGACGGCAUCUGAAUGUGGUGGAACAGCUGAUAGCCCGGUGGGCUCUGGGAGGCGGAGGGGUCCUCAGGAGGUGAUGAAAGGCCUCAGAGUCGCAUCUUCAUCUUCAGCAAAAGGACGCCCGGAGGUGUGGAUGGCUCCCUGACUUUAAUGCUGAAAGUUCUCCUAUUCAUGAGCAUGGUGGCAUGCGGCAUACAUCAAUGAAUGGGAUGGAGAUGAGUGUGGAGUCAAUGGAAUGAUGGGUCGACCCCACUGGAAAUGGUGGCGUGGCCAUCAGGUAGAGUGGGACGAACAUCCAUUUCUGCUCCUGUCUCCAUCUGUGCCAACCCCAGGUGCUCACUGGUCCCUUUUCCUCAGGGUUAUGGCACCCACUCUGCCUUGGCUGCAGGACGACUCCUGGGGACACUUCCUAGAUCGCUCCAGAUGUCAGCCGAGUGAUGUGCAAGCUCAGACUUCCCCUCGUAGAUGAGUUCAUCCUGCCUGCCUACUUGACGGAGGCUGGGAGCUCUCAUGUGGCACCUUGUUCAGUUGUGUCAGUGGCAGAAAUGGAACAGCCUUCCUCGGGAUCUGCCUCCUGGCUGGGUGCGAGCAGCACCGCUCAGCUGCAGCUUUGUUUUCCACUGAAAAACGCACAGUGGGUUCAAAGGAAGCAUUUCUGGAAUCCGUGUUGAUUUUGGACAAAUUGUUCUGAUGGAAAGAUCCAACGCUUUAAAUAACGCUUUGGGGUGGGGGGGGGGGGGGAGGGGGAAGAACUCGGAAUGGCUCAUUUCAAUCUUUUCAGCCCGAAAGAUUUCACUUCGGACUGGAAGCGAAGCGCUGUUCUCAAAAUUUAUGUUCACUUUUAUUUUUAAUAAAAGCUUUUAAUAAGCUCAAGG